rnacentral:lncRNA from 1 species
AUGAAUCGAGAAUUAGUAAAAGCGUUUAAUAGUGUUCUUCUUUCUGAUAAUACUGCUAUUACUAAUCUCACUAUAGAAAAAGAUCAUGUUGUUCUCUCAUUUGAUAAAGAUAUGAAUAUUGGUCAGCGCAAAGACUACUUGAAAAAUAUGAGAGAGAGUAUAGUAGGAAAGUUUUGUGGAGAUAAUGAAGAUGAGGAUGAAAAAGUUUUUGCCGAAAAGGCUGCCAAUGAUCUUUUUUAUACAGACUCUUUUCCUUUUAACUUUAAUCAAGGAAAAUGGACUACAGAUAAUAGCAGACAUAGGUUUUCAGUGCCAAUUGAAAAAGAGGUAGUUUGUAAUCUAAAAUAUUUGCUAGCUAAUGAACUUAUACGAUUUACAAUAGCACGUAUUAUAGACGAUCAUCCUGAUGAAGAUUAUGUGAAUGACAAUGUAUUCGAUGUGAGCUUUGACAGAAAAUCUUAUUUAUACUGUAAGGGCUUUGAUGAUCAAGAAUUAAAAAAAUCUUUUGUAAAAUCAUUCUCAUCGAGAAUGGAAAGUUAUGAUAAUAGUCCUAAAAGAUUUAAGGAUUUUUUAGAAGAGAAGGGGAAUUAUGUAUAUCUAAAGAAAGGCGUUUUUGAUGAUCUUAACUUCAUCAAAGACAUAGUAAGGCAUGAAGCACACUUGACAGGUCGUUGUUUUGAUACUCCACUAGGCGAGAUUGGAGUUAAUGACAUGAUGAAAUUUGCAGUGGUUGGUUUGUUUCGUAAAGAAAACAUACAAGUUGAUUUUAUGGUGCGUAAUUCUUACUUAGGGGGUGAUGAAGAUUCAGUUUUAAUUCCUAUUAUAAGUGGUAGUAAUGGUAAUAGAUAUUUAACAAGAGAGGAAGUGAAUCACGUUAAUAAUAUGUUUGGUAUGGAUGUAUUAAAUAAUGUUGAAGCUUAUACUUCGCAGAAGUCUCUAUUGAAUAGUGAUAGUAAAGGAUUGUACGGAAUAGAUUUUGGUAACCCAGACAUUUCUUACUGCGUGGUGGAUAAGAUCAUAGAGAGCUCUGUAAUCAAUAAGGAUUAUGAACUGUCCAUUGAUCCUGCGCGUGUGCCAGCUAAUGAAAAAUCAAUUUGCUCUAUUUUAUAG